CCUACGGGCGGCAGCAGUGGGGAAUCUUCCGCAAUGGACGAAAGUCUGACGGAGCAACGCCGCGUGAGUGAUGACGGCCUUCGGGUUGUAAAGCUCUGUUAAUCGGGACGAAUGGUUCCUGUGCGAAUAGUGCGAGGAUUUGACGGUACCGGAAUAGAAAGCCACGGCUAACUACGUGCCAGCAGCCGCGGUAAUACGUAGGUGGCAAGCGUUGUCCGGAAUUAUUGGGCGUAAAGCGCGCGCAGGCGGAUUGGUCAGUCUGUCUUAAAAGUUCGGGGCUUAACCCCGUGAUGGGAUGGAAACUGCCAAUCUAGAGUAUCGGAGAGGAAAGUGGAAUUCCUAGUGUAGCGGUGAAAUGCGUAGAUAUCAGGAAGAACACCGAUGGCGAAGGCAGGUCUCUGG
rnacentral:rRNA from 1 species